UACAGAGGGUGCGAGCGUUUAAUCGGAAUAACUGGGCGUAAAGGGCGAGUAGGCGGAAUUGUAAGUGAGGUGGUAAAGACAUGGGCUUAACCUGUGGGUGACACCUUAGACUGCAAAUCUAGAGGAUCGAGGAGAGGGGAGUGGAAUUUCCGGAAGGAGCGGUAAAAUGCGUAGAUUUCGGAAGGAACACCGGUGGCGAAGGCGACGUUCUGGCCUGGAUCUGACGCUGAGGCGCGAAGGCGUGGGGGAGCAAACAGG
rnacentral:rRNA from 1 species